UCCAUCUUGUUCUUCGAUCGUAAACUCACCCUCCCUACGUUCAAAUUGCUUUUUUUCCGCUUAUACCGUCUUUGUCAGAGGGAAAAAAAAAUUGGGGGAGGGGAUUUCCUACCAGAUUCGGCAACAGGAGCGUCCAUAGCAGCUCUGGAAAAAGACGAUAAUAAUCACGCCACUAGGGUGAGACUGGGUGUGGCCGACUGUCAUCAGGACAAGAGCCAACAGAGUAGCCUCCUUCAGAGGCGGGCCCUCUUAUAAGAGACUAAUCUCUCAGCGAACUGGAACCUGCAUAAAUUGUUAACGUACAUCCUUAAAUCAGGAAUUUAUUUUUAACGUCAUCGUGAAAGAGUCGUACUUCAUCACGAUGAAGUCACUAAAUGGAGGCAUUCUGGCGCUGCAGGAUUCAACAAAAAAGGCCCACGUAAUGAAGGACUAAAACAAAGAACUGCGAAUACAGGAAAUCUUAAACAAAAACAAAAACAAAAAUUGCUGAAGAAACUCAGCAAGCUCCCUCCAGGGUAACGAACCUUCCUUGGCCCUGUACUUACAUCCUCAAAAACAAGAAAAACAAUGAAUAGACUAAAUGGAAUCAAGGAAAUUCCAGAAUAAUCAAACUCAAGCCCAAUAUUCUCAAAAAGGUUUUAGAAAGCAUAUAAUGGGCAGAAGGCAGCAAAGUGGAACUGAUUAUCAGGCCAGCCAGAAUCUCACCAAAUGGUAGAGCAGACUCAAUGGGCUGGAUGGCCUGCUUCUGCUCCUGCUUAUGGUCUUACAUUGCUAGCAUUUUCCUGAUGAAUUGCUCAGAAGGAGCAGAAAAGAUGUCCUAGCAGACCAAGACAUCAUAUACUUCAAGUUGCAAUUCUGUAUUGUUCUGACAUUUUGAUUAUUGAAGUGUACAUCAUGUUGCUCCUGCUAUAGAGAAUGGUACUACUGUAGCAGGGCACUGUAACUUUAUUCUCUACUUCCAACACUUGUUUAAUUCUUAAUUCUUUAUUACCUUUUCACUAAUCCCAUGAUACUUCACUCACCUGGCAUCAUUAAAACAUGUUGUCAACUGGCCACCUGAAACAUCACUGUCACAUAUGCAGGUGCUUCAGUCUAAAUUUCUGUUAAACAGUGCUGUGAUAUAACAUUUUAAAGAGGCGAUAUAUGACGAAAACAUUAAAUGUGUUGCAGAGAGAGUUAAGGCAGCAAAUUAUCCUUCCACUAAUAAUUCUCAACAUCCAACAGAUUUUAAGUGACAGCAGAACCAAAAGGUUGAAUUAACAACAUUGCCAUUUUGUCACCCUAGCUGUACUUCAUAAUAUUCGGAAAAGAUUUUCUGAACAUCCAAGAUCAUACAGAAAAUGUUUGUGACUUGAAAGGACAUAUAUAGGCAGUAAAUUAAAAUUUUGAUAUCAACUUCUAAAGUACAGAAUAUCCAAACUCCAUUUAUCCAAGGGGGUGGGAAAGAUAACCAAAAACCAGAAGUAUUUGCUGCUUUUAUACUGGCUAGAUUUCUUGUUUUGUUUUGUAAAAUAUCUACAUCCUUCAAACUACAGAUAUUUCCACAUUGCUUUCUCAGCUUUUUUUUGCAAUAGGUAUUUACAUAUUUUGCUGAUGUUGCCAAAACAAAAAUGCACAAAUCAAAGUGGCAUCUGGUAUCACUAUUAAAAGCUCUGAAGUUCCAGCCAGACGUAGAGAAAUGCUCCAUCCCCUGCACCGAGGUCUAAACCAGAAUUUUUUCUUUUUGCAUAAAUUUUCCACACUAGCCACUGAUAUACCUUUGGUGUGAGAAUGUCAGCCUUUGAUUUUUGCAUAUGGGCUGAUGCUUGCCUGCAAUUUCACUCAAGACUCCAUAAAACAGGGGGGAAAAAAAAGUUUUAUAUAAGUUGAGGCCCAGCACUACAGGAGAAAGGACAGCAUACUAACCAAUUGCCUCAGCCUGUAAAGAUAUUAAAUAAUCUGAUGAACUCACUGUCGCCAAAUGAAUCCUCCAUCCUUCUUAAUGGAUAAUCAUCGUUGCUGUUAGUUGUUGGCCGAGCUCUCCAGUCAGACUCCAUCUCCGCAUCACGAAUUCUGUCUCGAUCUCCUCCCCUGCCUGAUUCUCUUUCUGAGUUCAAGUGGAGAUAGAAACCAAAGUGUUAAAAUCAAGCACAUCAAAAUUUCUCAGAAUUGUACUUGUAUUUACACUCUACAUUCAGUAGUCCAGUGAGCCAUGAAGCACAAACGUUUCUAGGUCAGUCCUUUGUUCACUGGCCAAGAUCAAGGGGAAAGUAUGAUAUUAUAAUCGCUAAGUUAGUUAUCAAUAAGACAUUUAACGCCAGAAAAUGUUCAAAACUUGCAUAGUACGAUUGUAUCCAAAUAACUACUUCAAAAGACUACUUAACUCAAAAAUUUCACAUCAACAUCUGCUCUGAUGAAAUAUUGGUGUAACUAGAAGUUACAGUAUUAAAGUGCCAUCAGAAAGCAAUUUGAGCAAUUAAAGUAUUCCUACUUUGAAAUCUCAGAGUGCUAAGACAAUGUAUCACAAUCAACAAAUAAAUGAGAGAUAUAUCUCUCCAUCUAUAGACUGUUCAUAACUUAUUCUGAUAGUAUGCAUUUAGAGCUUUCAUGGAUAUUUGUAAUUUCAAUGCUAGCUCCAACAGAUUUCCUGAUGGAACAGAAAGAAUUUCAAAAGGUCAGUUACCUGUUAAAAUAUAGAAACUGUACCUUUUUCCUGGGCUUGAUCAGCAAUAUCUACCCUUAUUCUUCGGUUUUGCAACAUCUAAGUGUAAAAACAUCAUAGAUAGAAAGGUUUCAGCAUGGUUGCUAAAAACAUUUAGGACUACUGUAAAUAUUAACUGAAAUACCCCACAAACAUGGAUGCUAUCAAUAAUUUUGCA